GAAUGGGAUCGGGGGAGAGGGGUUCCGAGGGUGAGAGGGGCGGCGGCGGCGGAAGCGGCGCCGUCCGUGCGCUGCUGUCCGUUGUUCGCUCCGAGUGUUGCCGUUCGUGAGCUGUUAUCCGCUUGUGCGAUGCAACGCCACUCGCCCGCAGAUCUACUGUUGUCUCCCAUCGACCACGCUCCCUUCGUUGCCUUCGAUCUCAUCGACGCUCCAUCAGUUGCUCCCUCUCGCCGGCGGCCUCGCCGACGUUUGCCGGCACGCUCAAUGUCGAUCCGCUCAUGGUUGCGGGCUCCUCUGUUGCCGCUAGGCGUACUCGUCCCUACCUUCGUUGCUGCAACCACGCCCUCCCAGUUGGACCUACGGAACCUUUGUUGCGGCAUCCAUCCCCUCCUAGAUACAGUCCUCGGAUUCUGAUGCUCCCGCUAGCAAGGUUGCUCUUGCUUCUGUUGGUCAAUCGUGCAACUGGUGGAAGGAGGACCACGGUUCUCCAUGCUGUGGUGUAGAUUAGAC